rnacentral:rRNA from 1 species
AACGAACGCUGGCGGCAUGCCUAACACAUGCAAGUCGAGCGCGCCCUUCGGGGUGAGCGGCGGACGGGUGAGUAACGCGUGGGAACGUGCCCUUUUCUACGGAAUAGCCUCGGGAAACUGAGAGUAAUACCGUAUACGCCCUUUGGGGGAAAGAUUUAUCGGAAAAGGAUCGGCCCGCGUUGGAUUAGGUAGUUGGUGGGGUAAUGGCCUACCAAGCCGACGAUCCAUAGCUGGUUUGAGAGGAUGAUCAGCCACACUGGGACUGAGACACGGCCCAGACUCCUACGGGAGGCAGCAGUGGGGAAUCUUAGACAAUGGGGGCAACCCUGAUAUAGCCAUGCCGCGUGAGUGAUGAAGGCCUUAGGGUUGUAAAGCUCUUUCAGCUGGGAAGAUAAUGACGGUACCAGCAGAAGAAGCCCCGGCUAACUCCGUG